CUUUGAGAGCUUUCCUGUACGUUAGCAGAGCAGCCAUUAUGCAGCUUAUCAAAGGAGGGAGAAGAUGAGAUGAUCAGAGAUCGAUAAAAGUUUGGUUUUUCUUCAUUUUACUCGGUGGUGAAGUUGGGUUUUGCCUGAAAAAAAAGACUAUUUUCAUGUACUCAACAGGACUUGGUUGGGCCGAAUAAAGCGGAUUCUUUUCUGAGAUCCAUGAGCGGAAGAAACAAGAUGGCGAACCAACCCUGAACCAUGAAAGUGAUCCCAGCGAAGCACCAAGCGCCCUCUGCUGGACACUGGACAACCCUUUCUCUGCUGGAACUGCAGGUGGCGUUUGAGUCUGUGAGGCGGCAUGGAGACGUUAGUCAGCAUCAAAAUGGCAGAAGGACCAGAGUCAUCGUCUGUCGACUUUUUUGCUCUCCAGUCUUACAGGUAAACGCAGCUGAGGCAUCAACAUCCUAUCACUCCAGCCAGCCUUCAGCUCAGGGACCAGAGGUUCAGGCACUUACCUCCAGACACAUGAUAUGAACACCACCGCUGGCAUUGUGGCCUCAACCAUGUCUGGUAAUCCCUAUUCCAGCAAUAACAAGGACCCUCUGCUCAGCUGACUUGAGGGGGGGGGUUUGACAAUCUAUGAGAGCAAUGGAAACAAAUCCAUUUUCCUGUUGCUCUAAAUGGAUAGCUAUUAAUACACUUAUUUAAUACAGUUAAUAUCAUCUUAUUAUACUCUGAAUGUCAGAAUCCAGCUUCUGCUCGGAUGAACAUCACUCACCAUAUUAAUAAUGGCCCCCCCUGAAAAUCCUCCCUAAAAGAAAAGAGGGAAAAGCUGCAGUCAGAAAGUUCUGAACGAUCCUCACGGACACACUGACCCAACCACGGUGGGAGCUCACCUUAGUCGGGCAGCUGUGCUGCAGCACGGUCCUCCCUUUCCUCAGCCUGGUAGGGCUGAAGAUGCCAGAGGAGACAGUCCACGGCAGCCCCGAAGGGCAGCCGAAAACAAGAACUGCCUCCCAUGGCUGUGCAGCCGGACUGCUGCCGAAUUGCAGGGAGGGCAGGGGGAUCUGUGGGAGGGGGAUGAAGACGAUGCAGAUUUGAGCAGAUCCUUGACACCACCUACUACACCAGAGAAGAUCUCUGCUGGACAUCUACAGCUCCCACUCCCUCAGUAAAGCCCAGAACAUCAGCAGAGACAGCGUCCACCCUGGACGUCACCUCUACUGCCCUCUAGAUCAUUUUAUAACAAGAACAGACUAAUAGACAGCUUUCUUCCUCAGUGGUGAAUGAUGAAUUGAGGAUUUAGUAAAACAUCGUUGCUGUCGCUCACCAUUUUCAAUGGUGGCCUGCAAAUAACCCCCACUCUUCAGCUUGACCUGAAUUCUGUGGCUCCCCUUUACCACGUGGACACAGGUUAUGAUGUCACCAUUGGGCGAGAUUAUAAAUCCUGUGCCCCCACUCCUGAAUGAGUUCAGAAGGGAUGCACUUCUAAAGAGAGACAGAGGGGACAACAGAUUUAAAGGGCAUGUAUGCCAUGCUAUUCUUAAGCCUACAUGCAUAUAUAUAUAUAUAUAUGACAAUAUGUUACCUUUGGCUCACUUAAGAACGAUUUUUUAAAAUAUAAAGUUAGUUAUUUUCGCAGCUCCAUUUUUGCAUAUCUAUGACAGCCCGCUCAUUUGAAUGGAUUGGGGGGGCUGGUACUCAGAGAACAGGUUUUAGAAGAAUCCUCAGGAAUGCUUGAAUAGAUCAAAAUACUGCUUUGGGGCUGUUUGUGGAGAAGAAUUACGGUAACAUGAUAUUAUACUCAAAAAGUAGAUUUUACACGAUAAAGGCUCCAUAAGGAGCUCAUCUGUGUCUAUGAAAGAAGCACUAGUUUAUUUCUGUUAACCCUGUAAAGCCCACUACAUCAGAGACUUAAAAAGAUCAAUAAUUUAAAAUGAAUUUCAAAUUCUGAUCAGGCCUUGAUUCCGAUUACUUUUGUCCAGGUAAACUCAGCUGAGGCAUCAACAUCCCAUCACUACUGCCAGUCUUUAGCUCAGUGAACAGAGGUUCAGGCACUAACCUCUUAGACACAAAUAUGGACACCACAGCAGGAGCUGCGGCGUCCACAAUAUCUAGGAUGAUAUCCCGCUUCCUGAAAAGGGGGACGGAGCUCCGUUCAGGUGAGGGGGGGGGUUUGAGAAUCUAUGAGAGUAAUGGAAACAAAUCAAUUUUCCUGUUGUUUAAAAUGGAUAUCUAUUAUUACACAUUUAUUACACUUAUUAUUAUAUUACUAUUGUAAAUGCAGUUAUACCAUAACAUGCUUUGCGUUGGACGGUUCCGGCUUCCACGGCGUUUGUUAAAAAGCGAUAACGCACACUUGGUCGGCCAUUGACCCUUAGUCUUCCCAUGGUUCGGGUGAAUACUCCAACAGGUGAACAUAACCAGGGCUUCAGGCUACAACUUUCAAUAAAAUCAGUACAUGCCCUCUUAAAUUUGCCAUUCUUUGGAUUAUUGAUCUUUUUUUAUCCUUUUGGAUUUGUUGCUUACCAAAGACUUAAACCAAAACGAAAUAAUUUUAAUGAAAUAAACUGUAAUCGAAUAACGUAGAAAAAGACUUGGCUAAUACAACCCAAAAGAAAACAGGGACUGAAAAAGGUUUUUAAUUCCAACUGACUGAUAUUCUAUGUUAAGGCGCUACAAAACCAACAUUCAGUGUUAACAGUCAUAGAAAAUUGUAGUACAUUUAAACUGAUUUCAUGCAUAGGUUGUGUUUUGCUGCCAUGAUAAUAGCAUUAAAUUGCACAUUUACUAAAGAGCAACACCAGACAGGGCCUGAUACCCUCACAACUGGUGUCUAUCGUUUCCUGAGCGUUAAAAAAAACCUGCUGUCCUUUUUCAAAAACCUGAUGCACAUUGAACUAAAAUCUGGCUUUUUCCAAAUUUCAUAGAACUAUGUUCUGAACUUUUCAGGUACUAACAUGAUUUAAAAAUGAUAAUCCAUUGAAGGUGCUGCACCAAACUAAUCUGAUUGCCAUCAAAUAAAGUUUUGGUUUCUGCAUUUCCCACGGAGGUGAAUCAAUCCUGUCUCAUGCUGACGAACAGAACUGCUAAACCUGUUGUAGUCUCAAGAAAACAUUCUGCACAAUAGACUUGAACAGGAAAAAAACACCACCAACCAGAGACAUCCCCUAAUCCCGCGGUAUUUGCUUUUAGCCGCCAUUUUCAAAAUUCAAAUCGCCCUCGAGAUGCCACCAGUUGACCGUUUCAGGCUAUCAAACUCUGUGAUUGCAAUUGCCCGUAUUAUCUGGACCGAAAAAUACUAUUGCGCGGUCCCCCGGCAACGCAUCGCGCCCCACUAUUUGAGAAGCACUGGGCAAACUAUUUGUACAAACCAGCAUUUUAAAGCAGGCAAAGCAGAUGCAGUGUUCAAACAAUGAGCAGUGAAUGGUUUGGAAAAAAUUCAAGAUCUGUAUCCAGUAGGAGCCUCAGACAUGAUGUCAUUCGAAAUGCUACAAUCAAAAUAUUCUAUUAAUGGAAAAUAGUUUUUACAAAUACCUACAAUUAAAAAGCUAUAUUUAAAUGUUCUAUAUCACUCUCUAUUUAAUCCAAAAACACCGACUGCUACGCCUGUAUGCGCUACACCGGGCUGUGCGCUGUAACGAUAACACAAUAAAAUGUCCUAAUUUUUCACUGAAAUGAUACCUCACAAUUAAGUAUGUUGCAUAUUACUAUUUUAGAAUAAAUGUAUAUCUUACUAGGUUACCAACCUGAGAUGAUCUCGGAGCUGCUGCCUGACGCCGCCAUGUUCUGUAGCCUCACUGACUGAAGCUUGAGGCACUUCUGUUUUUAUUCAAAUACAAGUCACGUUUUAUAACAAUAUAAAUAAAUAAAUAUAAACGAUACGUUUUUAUCAAUGGUUAAACAGGGUUAAUGACUAAACCAACAAGAAGCAUCCAGAAAUGAUUUUUUCCAAACACAGGUGUGCACACAGGAUUUCUUAGCUGUCCUAUGAACUCUGGACCACAGAACAAAUCCUGAAGGUUGUUGAGUUUUUUCAGAAACAAUAGAAAACACACAACAAAAAAAUAAAAAUCUAUUUAUUUAAAGCACAAAAUGAUGAGAAUCUAUGUCCUGAUAGCAGCAGAAGCCACACCACAGAAGGAAUGGUGGUGUCCACAAUAUCCAGGAUAACCUCCCGCCUCCUUAAAAGGGGGACGGAGCUCCCUUCAGGUGAGGGGGGGCUUUGAGAAUCUAUUGUAGUACUUUUAAAUUGAUUUUAAAUGAUUGAUAAGAAGAAAAGGGAGAGGACAAAGAGGAAGCACAUUCUCACCAAUGUUGUUACAUGGAUGAGGGCGAUGUCAUUAUCCUCAUCCACAUUUUCAAUGGUGGCCUGCAAAUAACCCCCACUCUUCAGCUUGACCUGAAUCCUGUGGCUCCCCUUUACAACGUGGGCACAGGUUAUAAUAUCACCAUAGGGUGAGAUUAUGAACCCUGUGCCCCCACUCCUGAAUGUGCUCCUAAGGAAUGCACUUCUAAAGAGAGACAGAGGGGACAACUGAUUUAAAGGGCAUGUAUGCCAUGCAAUUCUUAAGCUUACAUGCAUAUAUAUAUGACAAUAAGUUACCUCUGGCUCACUUAAGAACGAUUUUUGAAAAUAAAGUUAGUUAUUUAAGUCCCUUUUGCAUAUUUGUAUAUUGGUAUAUUUGUGUACAUAUAUAUAU